rnacentral:rRNA from 1 species
GUGGGGAAUAUUGGACAAUGGGCGAAAGCCUGAUCCAGCCAUGCCGCGUGUGUGAAGAAGGUCUUCGGAUUGUAAAGCACUUUAAGUUGGGAGGAAGGGCAGUAAGUUAAUACCUUGCUGUUUUGACGUUACCGACAGAAUAAGCACCGGCUAACUUCGUGCCAGCAGCCGCGGUAAUACGAAGGGUGCAAGCGUUAAUCGGAAUUACUGGGCGUAAAGCGCGCGUAGGUGGUUUUGUAAGUUGGAGGUGAAAUCCCCGGGCUCAACCUGGGAACUGCCUCCAAAACUGCAUGACUAGAGUACGGUAGAGGGUAGUGGAAUUUCCUGUGUAGCGGUGAAAUGCGUAGAUAUAGGAAGGAACACCAGUGGCGAAGGCGACUACCUGGACUGAUACUGACACUGAGGUGUGAAAGCGUGGGGAGCAAACAGGAUUAGAAACCCCGGUAGUCC